UCUCGCCUGCCGCCAUGUAAACGUUCUUUGCUCCUGCUUCGUCUUCUGCCGUGAUUGUGAGGCCUCCCCAGCCAUGUGGAACUACUCAUCACUCACUGCAGAUGUUACUUUAAGACAUUCUGGAGCAGCGUCAUGUGCAGGUGCGUAGUGCCUCCGCCCAUCUCUCUCUUGCUCCUGGUCUCAUCGUGACGGGCCUGGUCCUGCCUCACUUUAUGCCACGACUAAGAGCUCCCUGAGGCCUCUCCAGAAGCAGAUAUCACUAUGCUUCCUACACAGCCUGCAGAACCGAACAAUAAGGAAGUGAGUGCUUUUGUAAUUCCUGAACAACUGUGUCUUACACUUACUAAGGGAUUCAUGGGCAAUAUGACUGAAUAGGAACAGCUCCAGUCUGAAGCUCCCAGUGAGACCAACAUAGAAGUUCUCUUGCCUGCCACCAUGUAAGAUAUGCUUUUACUCUUCCGCCUUCCACCGUGACUGUGAGGCCUCCCCAGCCAUGUGAAACUGCCUUUGAGCUUAUACUGAAUUAUACCACCAGCUUUCCUAGGUCUUGAAGCUUACAGACAGCAGAUCUUGGGACUUCUCAGGCACCAUAAUCAAUCAUAGAUAAAUGAUCCAAUGAUUCGGAACUUGAAAAGUGGUAGCUUUAUGAAUUCUCCUUAAGAAGAAACCUGUGCCCUGAUCUUGCCUACUCACCCAAAGGCACUGUGAGAUAGCAUCAAAGGAACAGCUAGUAAGAGACACAGAGCCAGAAAUCAGGGAAGUAAAAUACACUUGACAUCUACGUUCGGAAAGAAAUUUUAGGAGGCAGAAGCAAAUGGAUCAGAAGCUGCUUAUAUUUUUGCAAGAUUACCAAAGAAACCAUUGGUGGAGAAAGUUCUGUGACCAACUUGUCUGAGUCUAGUAAGAUUGAACGCUCACACACAAGUUUCAUGAAGUGGGUUUGAUACUUACAGAUAAGCAGCAAGGACCAACAGAAGCUGAUGAUCUAUGGUGAACUUUUUCCCAAGGCUCCGGAAAGCUGCCUAAAGUAGAUGGAGUCUUCUCUGUGUGUGCCCCACUGGUCCUGCAGUUGAAGGAUCCGGUAAAGCAGCCUGCCCUUGGUUUUAUACUCCAGAGGAACGUGAUUCGCUGGACUAAAGCAUUGAAGUGCAUCCUGUUUCCGGGGGGCACUGGAACAGAGCCUGGUCUGUUCUAGCCAGUCCCUUUCUAUCUCAGGAUAACAUUCUACAGUUAUUCUUGAGAACUAUAAUCAAAUAAGCAGGGAGAACUGGGAAAGCAGAGGCUCAUUGUGGAACCCUCAAGGAGCAUGGGGUCGUCUUCAUCCCUCAGUUUAUAAAUGGCCAAGGAGAGUAAUGCAACAAAAACUUCUCAGAGUUAAAAGCCAGAGUUCCUAAAGAACCGUGGACAAAGGGUUCUGUCUAGUGGGCAGAAUUCAUCCAGCGAAGGAAAUUUGGAACCCAGGUUUUCCCAACCUACAUCUACAAAAUGGAAUGGGUCUGAUUCGCAAGUUUUCAGAGAAAGAAGCCAACCUUAAUCAGACUGUGAUAUGAUGAGGAAAUAAAACUUGCUGUGCUAAUCAACUGAUACUGGGAAGCAUGUUUAUUAUAAUAACAUAGUCUAUGCUUAACUUUUCUAAGAAACUAAUGAUCUGGAAUAUCGAUAAAAAGAAAAAAGAAAGAAAGCAAAA
ensembl:lncRNA LINC02241 long intergenic non-protein coding RNA 2241